AAAAACCCUUACCCAUGCCCUCUUCCUCUCUCUUUUCCUACACAGCUCACCGGAAAUUUCUGUCGCUCUAUUCUGCUCUUGCUUUCAAAGUCAGGGUCACCGAUCCCCGACGCUUUUGGUUGGAUUUGCAGGGAUCUAUACUGGAAUUAGAAUAUUUUAGGCAUAAAAAUCAAAAUUAUUAUUAUUAUUACUUCCAUUUCGGUGUAUGCAUUUAUAAUUUGCUAAUGGUUGGUAUAAUCCAUCGCUCUCUGAAAGGGUAGAGCACGAGAAAUUAGCGUUGCAGCAGCAGCCCUGCAUCUGUAUUCAUUGUUUUCUUUUUCUUUUAUGCGUUGGCUAUGAUUAUUGAGCUGUAAGAUCCUUAGAAAUAUUAGUUAUUGAGCCGUAAGAUCGUUAGAAAUAUUAGUUUAGGCAUGAGAUCGUGCAGUGGAUGGCGUCGUUUCCUCCUUUGUUUCUCUCUGCUACUUAUCAUUUUCCAUAUCUUCUCUGGUGAAUGUCCUCUCUCUGGUUCUCAUCAUUUUUUUUGGCAUUGUUUUGUUUUUUUAUUAUUGGGUACUUGAAAUUAAUUGUGGCUGAAUUUUUUUAUUGUUUUUUUGGAAGUUUUUGAAUUUCAUCCCAACUCAGUCAUAGAAAUUGCCCCAAAGAAACGAAAUAAAAAGUCUGAUCAU
rnacentral:misc_RNA from 1 species